rnacentral:rRNA from 1 species
UACGAAGGGGGCUAGCGUUGUUCGGAAUUACUGGGCGUAAAGGGCGCGUAGGCGGUUUGACCAGUCAGGUGUGAAAUUCCCGGGCUUAACCUGGGGGCUGCACUUGAUACUGUCAGGCUUGAAUUCGGGAGAGGAUAGCGGAAUUCCCAGUGUAGAGGUGAAAUUCGUAGAUAUUGGGAAGAACACCGGUGGCGAAGGCGGCUCACUGGCUCAUAUCUGACGCUCAGGCGCGACAGCGUGGGGAUCAAACAGG